CCUUUACUAUAGCUUCGCCUUGGCGUUAGCGACCGUAUGUGUAGGAUAGGUGGGAGGCUAUGAAACCGGGCGCCAGCUCUGGUGGAGCCAUCCUUGAAAUACCACCUUACUGUCGUUGACGUCUAACCGAGGGCCGUUAUCCGGUCCCGGGACAUGGCGUGGUGGGUUAGUUUGACUGGGGCGGUCGCCUCCUAAAGCGUAACGGAGGCGCGCGAUGUGGGCUCAGACCGGUCGGAAAUCCGCGGUCGUCGAGUGCAAUGGCAUAAGCCCGCCUGACUGCAGACUGGACAAGUCGAGCAGAGACGAAAGUCGGCCAUAGUGAUCGGUGUCCCGCGUGGAAGGGCCAUCGCUCAACGGAUAAAAGGUA
rnacentral:rRNA from 1 species